AUGGGGACACGUUCCCAGUUCCCACACCUGAUGAAGGGCCACAACACCUUAUUUCCACAAGUGCAGUAUAAAGUACAAAGACUUCUUGCUCUGCUACAUAUCAUGAAAGAAGGGUGGUCCCUUGAUUCUGCUGGAAGAAUAGCUGGAGAAGAUUGGGUGACUGAGGAGNNNNNNNNNNAUAUAUAUAUGAAGAAACUGUGUAUAUAUGUAUAUAUAUAUAUAUAUAUAUAUACACACAGUUUCUUCAGAAAGUAUUCACACCUCUUAGAGUUUUUCCACAUUUUGUUGUGUUACAGCCUGAAUCUAAAAUGUAUUAAAUUGAGAUUUUGUGUCACUGAGAGGAGAUUUUGUGUCAAAGAGGAGUUGUGUUUUUAGAAAUGUUUACAAAUUAAAAGCUGAAAUGUCUUGAAUCAAUAAGUAUUCAACUUUGUUAUGGCAAGCCUAAAUUAGUUCAGGAGUACAAAUGUGCUUACAAGUCACGUAAUAACUUGCAUGGACUCACUCUGUGUGCAAUAUUAGUGUUUAACAUGGUUUUUGAAUGACUCCCUCAUGUCUGUACCCCACACAUACUAUUAUCUGUAAGGUCCCUCAGUCGAGCAGUGAAUUUCAAACACAGAUUUAACCACAAAGACCAGGGAGGUUUUCCAAUGAUUCGCAACGCAGGGCACCUAUUGGUAGAUGGGUCAAAAAAAAAAAAAAAGCAGAGAUUGAAUAUCCCAUUCAGCAUGGUGAAGUUAUUAAUUACACUUUGACCCAGUCACUAUAAAAGACACAGGCGUCCUUCCUAGUUCAGCUGCCAGAGAGGAAGGAAACCACUCAGGGAUUUCACCAUGAGGCCAAUGGUGACUUUAAAACAGUUACAGAGUUUCAUGUGAUAGGAGAAAAUCAAAUCAAAUGUGUCACUUGCGCCGAAUAGAACAGGUGUAGUAGACCUUACAGUGAAAUGCUUACUUACAAGCCCUUAACCAACGAUGCAGUUUUAAGAAUACCUAAAAAAGUUACAUUUAGAGAAAAGUAAGAGAUAAUAAAAACAAAUAAUUAAAGAGCAGCAGUGAAUAACAAUAGUGGGGUGAAAUACAGGAGGUGCCGGUAAAGAGUCAAUGUGUCAAUGUGCGGGGGUACCGGUGUCGAGGUAAUUGAGAUAAUUAUGUACAUGCAGGUAGGGUUGUUAAAGUGGCUAUGCAUAGGUAAUAUAACAGAGAGUAGUAGCAGCGUGGAGGGUGCAAAUAGUCUGGGUAGCCAUUUGAUUAGCUGUUCAGGAGUCUUAUGACUUGGGGGUAGAAGCUGUUUAGAAGCCUCUUGGACCUAGACUUGGCACUCAGGUACCGCUUUCCGUGCGAAGGCAGAGAGAACAGUCUAUGACUAGGGUGGCUGGAGUCUUUGACGAUUUUUAGGGCCUUCCUCUGACAUCGCCUGGUAUAGAGGUCCUGGAUGGCAGGAAGCUUGUCCCCGGUGAUGUAC
rnacentral:lncRNA from 13 species